GCAGGGCCCACCUUGUUGCCGGGGACGGGCUCCUGGGCUUCACUGUCCGGGACUCGGAGUCGGCGCUGUUACUUUGAGUAAAUUAGAGUGUUCAAAGCAGGCCUACGCUCUGAAUACUUUAUCAUGGAAUAACACGAUAGGACUCUGGCCUAUCCUGUUGGUCUGUAGGACCGGAGUAAUGAUUAAGAGGGACAGUCGGGGGUAUUCGUAUUCCAAUGUAAAAAA
rnacentral:rRNA from 1 species